ACGAACGCUGGCGGCGUGCUUAACACAUGCAAGUCGAACGGAAAGGCCCUGCUUUUGUGGGGUGCUCGAGUGGCGAACGGGUGAGUAACACGUGAGUAACCUGCCCUUGACUUUGGGAUAACUUCAGGAAACUGGGGCUAAUACCGGAUAGGAGCUCCUGCUGCAUGGUGGGGGUUGGAAAGUUUCGGCGGUUGGGGAUGGACUCGCGGCUUAUCAGCUUGUUGGUGGGGUGGUGGCUUACCAAGGCUUUGACGGGUAGCCGGCCUGAGAGGGUGACCGGCCACAUUGGGACUGAGAUACGGCCCAGACUCCUACGGGAGGCAGCAGUGGGGAAUAUUGCACAAUGGGCGGAAGCCUGAUGCAGCAACGCCGCGUGCGGGAUGACGGCCUUCGGGUUGUAGACCGCUUUCGCCUGUGACGAAGCGUGAGUGACGGUAAUGGGUAAAGAAGCACCGGCUAACUACGUG
rnacentral:rRNA from 1 species